rnacentral:rRNA from 1 species
AUUGAACGCUGGCGGCAGGCCUAACACAUGCAAGUCGGACGGUAGCACAGAGGAGCUUGCUCCUCGGGUGACGAGUGGCGGACGGGUGAGUAAUGUCUGGGGAUCUGCCCGAUAGAGGGGGAUAACCACUGGAAACGGUGGCUAAUACCGCAUAACGUCGCAAGACCAAAGAGGGGGACCUUCGGGCCUCUCACUAUCGGAUGAACCCAGAUGGGAUUAGCUAGUAGGCGGGGUAAUGGCCCACCUAGGCGACGAUCCCUAGCUGGUCUGAGAGGAUGACCAGCCACACUGGAACUGAGACACGGUCCAGACUCCUACGGGAGGCAGCAGUGGGGAAUAUUGCACAAUGGGCGCAAGCCUGAUGCAGCCAUGCCGCGUGUAUGAAGAAGGCCUUCGGGUUGUAAAGUACUUUCAGCGGGGAGGAAGGCGAUGUGGUUAAUAACCUUGUCGAUUGACGUUACCCGCAGAAGAAGCACCGGCUAACUCCGUGCCAGCAGCCGCAGUAA